UACGAAGGGGGCUAGCGUUGCUCGGAAUCACUGGGCGUAAAGCGCACGUAGGCGGGUUGCUAAGUCAGGGGUGAAAUCCUGGAGCUCAACUCCAGAACUGCCUUUGAUACUGGGAAUCUCGAGUCCGGGAGAGGUGAGUGGAACUGCGAGUGUAGAGGUGAAAUUCGUAGAUAUUCGCAAGAACACCAGUGGCGAAGGCGGCCCACUGGAUCGGUACUGACGCUGAGGUGCGAAAGCGUGGGGAGCAAACAGG
rnacentral:rRNA from 1 species